UACAGAGGUCCCAAGCGUUGUUCGGAUUCACUGGGCGUAAAGGGUGCGUAGGUGGUGAGGUAAGUCGGAUGUGAAAUCUCCGAGCUCAACUCGGAAAUGGCAUUGGAAACUACCUUGCUCGAGGGUUGGAGGGGGGACUGGAAUGCUUGGUGUAGCGGUGAAAUGCGCAGAUAUCAGGAGGAACACCGGUGGCGAAGGCGGGUCUCUGGGCCGUAACUGACGCUGAGGAGCGAAAGCGUGGGGAGCGAACAGG
rnacentral:rRNA from 1 species